UAUGAACAGGCCCUUAAUUGGCUACUCGCCGUUGCAAAUAUUUCAAUACACCUGCAGGUAGAUCGACCUGCGGAAAGUCGAACCCAGUAUGAGUACAGGUAGUUGAUGUAAAAAUUUUGAAAGAAAAUUUCAAACCUGCAUGGCGAGUGUCUUGUUGGAAUCCCUAUUAUCUGGAAGAGAACUGCUUCCUAUACUCCUAUUCGGCUUACACUUUUCUUCAAUGCAGCGUUUAAGUAACGGUCGUAUGAUAGUAUCGUCCACCUUCAAUUCAGCCGAACGUAGUGUUACAGCUAUAGUAUAGGAUUUGAAUUGAUUAUAUGUUAAUUAAUAAAGGUUUGCCGGAGUCGCAUCACUAGGCUUCGUUUAAAGCUAGUUUGCCACUUGAACCGUAUCGUGCCGUAGCGUAGUGUAUUUCUUUGUUUCCUGAGCGGUAGUGUGUAACUAAUGACUUCGACACGAAAGAAAAUGCUACGUUACGUUACGUUACGAUAUGGUUGAAGUGGAAAACAGGCUUAACACUGUACCGGAUAGUUUUCCGUAGCGACGUGAAAAAAACACCUAUAUCCAUACCUUGUAGGAACGCUAUUUUCAGAGGCAUUAGAGAGGUUAAGAUACCCCGACGUGAGUAAACCUACCAGAUAAUGGCAACUUUCGCUAUUAGGGAGUUUACGAUCUACGACGCGGCCGACUCGACGACGCGCUUUCAAAACAAAGAAAUUUGGUGUUUCCACAAACAAUAGUACUUUGUGUUUUAUCGCCAUGCAAACCUACAAAGAACUUAAGCCUGCCGCACACGAGAGCUAUCUGCUGAGCAAAAAGUUACUCGUGCCUGUUAGCUCAGCCGAUAGCUCACCGUGUGCGGGUACAUUUUACUGAGUUUUUUGCCUCAUGCAACCUUUUCUCACGUAUCAAACAUGUUUGAUCGGUGAGCUAUCGGCUGAGCUAACAGGCACGAGUAACUUUUUGCUCAGCAGAUAGCUCUCGUGUGCGGCAGGCUUUACAAAGAAAUUUGUCAUGCAAGACAAAAACUGUCAAUAAUUUGUGGUCCCAUGAGUAUUGUCAACCGCGUUGUCAUUCUCAACACAACGUUAAAAAAGCAUUAUUAAGCCUGCCGCACACGAGAGCUAUCAGCUGAGCCAAAAGUUACUCGUGCCUGUUAGCUCAGCCGAUAGCUCAUCGAUCAAACAUGUUUGAUACGUGAGAAAAGGUUGCAUGAGGCAAAAAACUCAGUAAAAUGUACCCGCACACGGUGAGCUAUCAGCUGAGCUAACAGGCACGAGUAACUUUUUGCUCAGCAGAUAGCUCUCGUGUGCGGCAGGCUUUACGUCUUUCAGGCAACGCGAAAGCCUAAUGCGACACAAGAGGUGUUACUAAAAGUUGAAAUUACAGCAAACAUUGCAUCGCAUUAGCCGAACGUAGCAUUUUGUAAGGUUAUUUGAAAGAGUCAAAUAUUUAUUACAGUAAUCGAAUUGCUUAGCGCUCAUUCGUGAGCUAAAAUUUAGACCGCGUCGUUGAGCCGGCCGCGUCGUAGAUCGUAAACUCCCUAUUGAGGUUCGCUAUAGAUUGUUGAAAACUUUGACAAGCAUAAGUGCAUUAUUUAUUUGGGUAAUAUGUUGAAAUUUUUUACUAUUUAAGCGGCCUACAAAUAGUAAAUAGAAAACACCCGUACCCGUUUGUCUUUUACGUGUAGACCAUGGUUUACCGCGGGGAAACGGGUAGAAAUUACGGGUAAAAAUGCUGACAUCAGCAAAAAUUGGUAAACAAAAUGGCGAUACUCGUACCCAUAUUAAAACGGAACCGGGGUAUCUUAACCUCUAUUAUUGCAACGGAGAGAUGUUGUUUCGCUCAGCUUCUGAAAGUUGUACAUAACUCCUUAUCGGAUAGAUGCAGUUUCGCGCCGCUACGGAAAAUUUUCCGGUUAGGAGUACUCAUCAUCUAAACUUUUAUUUUUCUAUAACUUUACCAUAGAAUUUAUAUACGAUACGACAGGAAAUACUGUGAUAAUAUAUAUAUUGUACACAAUAAAAAAUAUAUAAUGUCAAAACUUAAAAAUAAUUUGACUAUACAUG
rnacentral:lncRNA from 1 species